rnacentral:rRNA from 1 species
UACGUAGGGUGCAAGCGUUGUCCGGAAUUACUGGGCGUAAAGCGCACGUAGGCGGACUCUUAAGUCGGUGGUGAAACUCCUGGAGCUCAACUCCAGAACUGCCUUCGAUACUGGGAGUCUCGAGACCGGGAGAGGUGAGUGGAAUUCCCAGUGUAGCGGUGAAAUGCGUAGAUAUUGGGAAGGAACACCAGUGGCGAAGGCG